rnacentral:rRNA from 1 species
UACGGAGGAUCCGAGCGUUAUCCGGAAUUAUUGGGUUUAAAGGGUGCGUAGGCGGCUUUUUAAGUCAGCGGUGAAAUUUUGCAGCUUAACUGUAACAGUGCCGUUGAUACUGGGGAGCUAGGAUUUGGUUGCUGUGGGUGGAAUGUGUGGUGUAGCGGUGAAAUGCUUAGAGAUCACACAGAAUAUCGAUUGCGAAGGCAGCUCACAAAGCCAAGAUUGACGCCGAGGCACGAAAGUGUGGGGAUCAAACAGGAUUAGAUA